GGGCGGAUGGUUUAGUGGUAUAAUACUCCCUUAGCAUGAUUACCCCGGGUAGCAUGAUUGGGAGUGGUCCGGGGUUCGAUUCCCCGUCUGUCCA